GACGAACGCUGGCGGCGUGCCUAAUACAUGCCAGUAGAACGCUGAAGGAGGAGCUUGCUUCUCUGGAUGAGUUGCGAACGGGUGAGUAACGCGUAGGUAACCUGCCUGGUAGCGGGGGAUAACUAUUGGAAACGAUAGCUAAUACCGCAUAAUAGCAGUUGUUGCAUGAUAACUGUUUGAAAGGUGCAAUUGCACCACUACCAGAUGGACCUGCGUUGUAUUAGCUAGUUGGUGGGGUAACGGCUCACCAAGGCGACGAUACAUAGCCGACCUGAGAGGGUGAUCGGCCACACUGGGACUGAGACACGGCCCAGACUCCUACGGGAGGCAGCAGUAGGGAAUCUUCGGCAAUGGACGGAAGUCUGACCGAGCAACGCCGCGUGAGUGAAGAAGGUUUUCGGAUCGUAAAGCUCUGUUGUAAGAGAAGAACGAGUGUGAGAGUGGAAAGUUCACACUGUGACGGUAUCUUACCAGAAAGGGACGGCUAACUACGUG
rnacentral:rRNA from 1 species